rnacentral:lncRNA from 1 species
AGCCUACACCACAGCCACAUCUAUGUGAGAUCUGAGCCAUGUCUGCGAUCUACACCAUAGCUCACAGCAACGCCGGAUCCUCAACCCACUGAGCAAGGCCAGGGAUUGAACCCACAACCUCGUGGUUCCUAGUCAGAUUCAUUUCCCCUGAGCCACGACGGGAACUCCUAGAAAUAAUCUUUUUAAUUUGCUUCCUUGUUGAUCAUCUGUGACCCCAAAUCCACUCGUGUCAGCUCUUGAAAGCAAUGUCGGGGCUGUCUUGUUAACGACAUAUUUCCAGUGCCUAGAAUGUGCCUGGAACAGAAAGGACGCUUGAUAAAUAUCUGUUGAAAGAUAUUCUGCCCUCGGUUAAGAAUCCAACUGCAGCAGCUCAGGUCACUGCAGAGGUGUGGGUUUGCUCCCUGGACUGGCAUGGUGUGUUAAAGGAUCCCUCAUUGCUUUGGCUGUGGCCUAGGUUACAGCUAUGGCUCAGAUUCAGUCCCUUGCCUGAGAACCUCCGUAUGCUGCAGGUGUGGCCAUAAGAGAAAAAAAGGAAGGAGGAAUGAGCAAAUGACUAAAUAAGUUACUUGUUGGAGAAUUUUCUGGGAUAAAGUAAAAAAAAUUCUACAUACAAAGUAUUGCAAGUAUUAAGCCCAAAUACAAUGACCACAAAAGAGCAGAUCUGCUUAGGACAGUUCCAAGCGGCCGGGUGCUCCAUCAGAGAAUGCGCUCAGGCGACCUGCUUGUGUUUGGUUCCAGGAACCCGAAUGAACGAUCCUAGCUAACUUAAAAUGAAAAAGCCUCUUUCUUCUUCCCGCCCCCACCCCCCGCCACUGUCCUGAUCAUAAUGCUGGAAUCCAGUAAGUAAAUUUCUGGUGUAUGGUCUUGAUUGGAAUUGAAUAAAAAUCAAUGUAAAGUGAAGCUUGACGCCUUCUUUUAGAUCUUCCUAUAGACAAAGUUUCACAUCUCUGAUCUUAUCUGGGAGGACAAAGCGAGGAUGCAUUGGGUCAGUCUUCAGAUAAAAGGGAACUCAAGAAUAGCCCUUAGUGAUUUUCUAAUACUUGGUCAGCAGGAAAGGGCUCCGUCGCUGGUAUAUGAAAAUGAUUGCAUUUCUGAUAGCCUAGGGUUCUUAAUUCACUGGGAGCUGGUUAGAGAGCCUCUUAGAUACAUUGGCACUUGGCAUUCUAUUUUAACUGGGAUAUUAUGAAUCCUGGUUGCUAAUGUUCAGAAUCGGAAGACCCUGCAAAUAGGGGAUACACUUUCACAAAAAGGUUAAAAUUGAGGUGUUUGUCUCCACGAAUCUCAUGGGCAGAAUGAUGUAGACCAAGAGAGCCCAUUUUUUUGGCAAGCCGUAGGAGUUUCUUAGGCAUGGAUGACUGUCUUUGCUACCUACCCUGUACCAGAAAAAUGUUUAUUUAAAUAUUGUACCAUCCCACAAGCACUUUUAUUAUUUACCGAUUUAAAAAAAUGACAUCAUUACUUUUCUUCUGAAUUUUUUAAAGCGACAAUUGUGCAAUUAAAUUACUGAAUUCAUUUAUAUUUAAUUGUGCUUUUGGUUUUAAUGUGCUAUUGGACGACAUUUCUUUCUGAGGCUGUUAGUUUUCCACGCAACACAGAGAAUCUAAGGCUAUAUCAAGGAAAUAUAUUACAUGGGCAAGACAAAGUCUCAUUAGUGUUAUUUAUAGCAUGCUGAAACCUCAUUAGGGGAAGGUAUGCUGGAUUCAAAAAUGCAUUACCGGGAACGCUUUGUUUUUUGUACUGGAGAAAUUGCUUUUAUUGUGUUUCUUUGUCACAAGCAUAGUGGCUACUGGACAUUUUGGUUUGUUAAAGUAUGAAAUAAAUUAAGUUAGAAGAAAAGAGUAAUUAAUCCACUAGUAAGUAUAGCCUCAUCAUAUUAGUAGAAUGGCCUACACAUGGUUCUAAGGAAUUUCUAUUUACCCACGCACCUUAACCUUGUCCAACCAUUAAUUUAUAACUUGUUUCACUUCAGGUAAAAAGCGAUAUUUUUCAGGGCAGUAGUUUGCAUCUUAAACAGUAAUAAUGUGCUUUUAGUGCUUUUCAAAUCAGGGAUGAGUGAAGCUUGAGGGGCAAAGCCACAAAUUGCCCAAUUUAGGAAGUUCUGUUUGUUCUAAUGUGAGCCGUGCAUUCACGCCUGCGUAAAUAUUGUCCCGGAGGCAUGCCGGAGCACUGUGAUUUGAGGCAAAUGGGAACAAAAAAUGAGUCCCUGAGAUGUCAGUCUCAGGAAUGAAACUCAUUUGGACUGUGUGACUGCCUGACGGGAUGGAAGUGCUAGACUAUUGCAGUUAAAAUUCUGCUUUUUUUUCGCCAAGACUUUGCAUUGCUGCAGGGUGGGAUAGUGGAAAUGAUUCAGAUCCAGCCACAAAUUUCCCUGCUUUAUUACCAUCCUGGCUGUGGGUUUUUUUGUUUUUUUUUGUUUUGACCAUACCCAUGGCAUAUGGAAGGUCCCAGAGUAGGGGUUGAAUCAGAGCUGUAGCUUCUGCCCUACAUCACAGCCACAGCAACGCCAGAUCCAAGCUGCAUCUUCAACUUAUACCACAGUUCACGGCAAUGCUGGAACCUUUGACCCACUGAGUGGGGCCAAGGAUCGAACCCACAUCCUCACGAAUACUAGUCGUGUUCAUUACCUCUGAGCUACAAUGGCAACUCGGGGCUAUGGUUGUUUAUUGUCAUCUGCCUUUGAGUGAAAGGCUGUAUCAGGAAUGAUUUCUACUGUAAGAUUCAGAAAAUCCAAGUAAUAGUUGUUUACGAUAUUAAACAUAUCUAUUAUUUACUUAAAAGGGGAGAGAGGUGGUCUCAAGAUUUGUUCAUUAGCUCAGCCAUGUUAUUAAGAAUCCAGGUUCUUUCCAUCCCUCUUCUCUCAUGUUCUCUUCAUGUCUGUUGCCACAUGGUGUCUAAAUAGCUGCUGCUGCUCAAAGUAUCAUGGCCUCACACUAAACGUCCCAAGCAGAAAAGGAAGGAUGGGGUAGAUAGAUGUCUUGUAAGUUUGUAUGUUUUAUUUUAUUUUAUUUUCUCCAUAGGUGGGAAAUUCCUCCUUCAGACUCUGCAGGCUUCGCCCUAAGUUUUAUGGAUCAGAAAUGGGCCACUAGACCCUCUUCUCCCCCAAACAAAUGACAAACAAGUAA